GAGAGCAAAGGUAUACAUGCAAGUCUUUGUUUUGAUUAUUUGGAUCCAUUGUUGCAUAACUAUGUUUUCUAUUUUUCUCAAUCGACUUAGCCAUUCUACUAAUCUGGUAUUUUGUUUUAAGUUAAAAAUUAUUUGUUUUUCUCAUUUUCAUCAAAUUAAAUAAAACAUGAUUUUUAUUGGUAAAUAUUUGUUCUAGAAAUAUAUUUAUAAAAUAAAAAAUAUUAUAUUUUAAAGUUAGUGUAAGGAAUAUAUAUUUAUGUUUAAAUGAAUC
rnacentral:lncRNA from 1 species